GACGAACGCUGGCGGCGUGCUUAACACAUGCAAGUCGAGCGGUAAGGCCCUUUCGGGGGUACGACGAGCGGCGAACGGGUGAGUAACACGUGGGUGACCUGCCCUCAGCUCUGGGAUAAGCCUGGGAAACGUGGGUCUAAUACCGGAUAUGACUCCAUGACGCAUGUUGUGGGGUGGAAAGCCUUGUGCGGCUGAGGAUGGGCCCGCGGCCUAUCAGCUUGUUGGGGGGGGUG
rnacentral:rRNA from 1 species